AGAUUGAACGCUGGCGGCAUGCCUAACACAUGCAAGUCGAACGGGAGUAGCAAUACUCUAGUGGCGGACGGGUGAGGAAUACGUAGGAAUUUGCCCUUAAGUGGGGGAUAACCCGGGGAAACCCGGAUUAAUACCGCAUGACCUCGAAAGAGCAAAGUGGGGGAUCGCAAGACCUCACGCUUUUGGAGAAGCCUACGUCGGAUUAGCUAGUUGGUGAGGUAAUGGCUCACCAAGGCGACGAUCCGUAACUGGUCUGAGAGGAUGAUCAGUCACACCGGAACUGAGACACGGUCCGGACUCCUACGGGAGGCAGCAGUGGGGAAUAUUGGACAAUGGGCGCAAGCCUGAUCCAGCAAUGCCGCGUGUGUGAAGAAGGCCUUCGGUUGUUAAAGACACUUUAAGUUAGGGGUAAGAAAAACGUAACGAC
rnacentral:rRNA from 1 species